ACUUAUAUAAUUCAGGCAGUAUUAAUUUUUUAAAAAAACCAUCAUAUAGUGGCGGCAUUUAAAUCUUAUUAGAGGAACUUGUUCAUUAAUCGAUUAUCCACGAUAAAUCUCACUUAAAUUUAAAUUUUAUAUACCCCCGUAUAUAAAUUAAUAAAUAAAAUUAUUUUAUAAUAAAAUUUAUAAAACAUCAGGCAACGGUGUAAACUAUAUUUAAGAUAGAAUGUGUUACUUUAAAAUUUAUUUAAGGCAAUAAAAUAAAUAUUAUAUUUAAAAAUAGGAUUUAAUAGUAAUUUAAUAAUAAUAAUAUUAAAUGAAUAAGAAAAAAAAUGUGC
rnacentral:rRNA from 1 species